rnacentral:rRNA from 1 species
GGGCCCGCACAAGCGGUGGAGUAUGUGGUUUAAUUCGAUGCAACGCGAAGAACCUUACCAGGGUUUGACAUCCUGCGAAUCUCUUGGAAACGAGAGAGUGCCUUCGGGAGCGCAGUGACAGGUGGUGCAUGGCUGUCGUCAGCUCGUGUCGUGAGAUGUUGGGUUAAGUCCCGCAACGAGCGCAACCCACGUCUUUAGUUGCCAGCAUUCAGUUGGGCACUCUAGAGAGACCGCCGGUGAUAAACCGGAGGAAGGUGUGGAUGACGUCAAGUCAUCAUGCCCCUUACGGCCAGGGCUGCACACGUACUACAAUGCCCAGUACAAUGGGAAGCAAUACCGCGAGGUGGAGCAAAUCCUCAAAACUGGGCCCAGUUCAGAUUGUAGUCUGCAACUCGACUACAUGAAGUCGGAAUCGCUAGUAAUGGC